AGAGUUUGAUCAUGGCUCAGGAUGAACGCUAGCGACAGGCUUAACACAUGCAAGUCGAGGGGCAGCGGGGCGGCAGGCUUGCCUGCCGUUGCCGGCGACCGGCGCACGGGUGAGUAACACGUAUGCAACCUGCCCGUGGCAGGGGGAUAAGCGGGGGAAACCCCGUCUAAUACCGCGUAACGCGGCCUAGGGACAUCCCAAGGCCGCCAAAGGGAGCAAUCCCGGCCACGGAUGGGCAUGCGGCGCAUUAGCUAGUCGGCGGGGUAACGGCCCACCGAGGCGACGAUGCGUAGGGGUUCUGAGAGGAAGGCCCCCCACACUGGUACUGAGACACGGACCAGACUCCUACGGGAGGCAGCAGUGAGGAAUAUUGGUCAAUGGGCGCGAGCCUGAACCAGCCAAGUCGCGUGAGGGAGGACGGCCCUACGGGUUGUAAACCUCUUUUGCCGGGGAGCAACGGGCGCCACGUGUGGCGCCACUGAGAGUACCCGGAGAAUAAGCAUCGGCUAACUCCG
rnacentral:rRNA from 1 species